GGCUUGUUGAUUUUAAUUUCAAGUCUUACCUGCCCAAUGAGGAGUUGAAUGGCCGCAGUAUACUGACUGUGCAAAGGUAGCAUAAUCAUUAGUUUCUUAAUUGGAAGCUCGUAUGAAAGGUUUGAUGAGAAAAUGACUGUCUCUAUAAAAAUUUUAUAGAAUUUUAUUUUUAAGUAAAAAAGCUUAAAUGAGUAUAGAAGACGAGAAGACCCUAUAGAGUUUUAUAUUUUUAAAAAAAAUUUUAUUUUUAGAAUUAUAAGAGGAUUUUUUAUAUAAGUAUUUUGUUGGGGCGAUAGAAAAAUUAGUUAAACUUUUUUUACAUGAGAACACUGAUUAGUGAGUAAAUGAUCCUAAAAUUUAGAUUAAAAGAUUAAAUUACCUUAGGGAUAACAGCGUAAUUUUUUUUAGAGUUCUUAUCGAAGAAAAAGAUUGCGACCUCGAUGUUGGAUUAAAAUUUAUAAUUGGUGAAGAGGCUAAUUUAUUAGGUCUGUUCGACCUUUAAAAUUUUACAUGAUCUGAGUUUAAACCGGCGUGAG
rnacentral:rRNA from 1 species